rnacentral:rRNA from 1 species
UACGGAGGGGGCUAGCGUUGUUCGGAAUUACUGGGCGUAAAGCGCACGUAGGCGGAUUGUUAAGUCGGGGGUGAAAUCCCGGGGCUCAACCCCGGAACUGCCUUCGAUACUGGCGAUCUUGAGGUCGGGAGAGGUGAGUGGAAUGGCGAGUGUAGAGGUGAAAUUCGUAAAUAUUCGCCGGAACACCAGUGGCGAAGGCGGCUCACUGGCCCGAUACUGACGCUGAGGUGCGAAAGCGUGGGGAGCAAACAGG